GCGCCAGUAUUCGCAGGGAAGAUGGCGGAUCACAGUCCUAAGUCCGUGCUAUUCGUGUGUUUAGGUAACAUUUGCCGGUCACCCAUUGCAGAAGCAGUUUUCAGAAAACUUGUAGCUGACCAAAACAUUUCAGAUAAUUGGAGGAUAGACAGUGCGGCCACAUCCACAUAUGAAGUGGGAAACCCCCCUGACUAUCGAGGGCAGAGCUGCAUGAGGAAGCACGGCAUCCCCAUGACUCACAUUGCCCGGCAGGUACCGUACUGGAACUUGACCUGUGUUUUGUGUUACAGUGGGCUAUUGACAGCGGUGCUGUUUCCGACUGGAACGUGGGCCGGGCCCCAGACCCAAGAGCUGUGAGCUGCCUAGGAAAUCACGGCAUUAGCACAGCCCAUAAGGCAAGACAGGUUACCAAAGAAGACUUCACCACAUUCGAUUAUAUAUUGUGUAUGGAUGAAAGCAAUCUGAGAGAUUUGAAUAGAAAAAGUAAUCAAGUUAAAAACUGCAAAGCUAAAAUUGAACUGCUCGGGAGCUAUGAUCCACAAAAACAACUCAUUAUUGAAGAUCCCUAUUAUGGGAACGACUCUGACUUCGAGCUGGUGUACCAGCAGUGCCUCCGGUGCUGCAGGGCCUUCCUGGAGAAUGCCCACUAGGGCUUGCCCUGCCCACCACUAGCUUGUGACUUGCCACCAGUCCUGUGCCAAAGUGUGGUGGUAUUCCUUAGGCCUCACCUGUUUCUUCAGCUGACUUACUGUUUUACCUUUAAAAUAAUUGUGGGUGGCCAUUAGUUAUAUUUUCAGAAGAAUAAAUAGAAAUGUUUGAUUCAUACAGUUUGGGGCAGUAAGCACCCAGACUAGUUAAACCUCUCACUUUGCCCUAAUUACAAAAUAGAGGAACAAGCAAAUAUGGA